rnacentral:tRNA from 47 species
GUCUUCGUAGUUCAAUGGAUAGAACGGGGUCCUCCUAAGACUCAGAUACAGGUUCGAUUCCUGUCGAAGGCACCA